UACGAGGGGGGCGAGCGUUGUUCGGAAUUAUUGGGCGUAAAGGGUGCGUAGGCGGUUUGGUGAGUCUUAUGUGAAAUCUACAGGCUCAACUUGUAGUCUGCAUGAGAAACUGCCGGGCUUGAGUAUGGGAGAGGUGAGUGGAAUUCCUGGUGUAGCGGUGAAAUGCGUAGAUAUCAGGAGGAACACCUGUGGCGAAAGCGGCUCACUGGACCAUAACUGACGCUGAUGCACGAAAGCUAGGGGAGCAAACAGG
rnacentral:rRNA from 1 species